GUGCUUACUUCAGCAUCACAUAUAAAUAAAAAUUGAAAUAAGACAGAGAAGAUUAGCAUGGCCUCUGUGCAAAGAUGACACACAAGUUCAUAAAGUGUUCAUAUUAAAA
ensembl:snRNA U6 U6 spliceosomal RNA